rnacentral:rRNA from 1 species
GACGUAGGGCGCGAGCGUUGUCCGGAUUUAUUGGGCGUAAAGAGCUCGUAGGCGGCUUGUUGCGUCGACCGUGAAAACCCGGGGCUCAACUUCGGGCUUGCGGUCGAUACGGGCGGGCUAGAGUUCGGUAGGGGAGACUGGAAUUCCCGGUGUAGCGGUGAAAUGCGUAGAGAUCGGGAGGAACACCAGAGGCGAAGGCGGCGACCUGGACAGUUACUGACACUCAACUACGAAAGCGUGGGGAGCAAACAGG